rnacentral:ncRNA from 1 species
UGAAAGGAGUUUGACCAAGAGGACAGCGGCCAUGAAGUCAGAAUCCACUAAGGAGUGAGUAACAACUCACCUGCGAGCCAACUAGCCCUGAAAAUGGAUGGGCUGGA